ACAUGCAAGUCGAACGGUGAAGAGAGAGCUUGCUCUUUCGGAUCAGUGGCGAACGGGUGAGUAACACGUGAGCAACCUGCCCCGGACUCUGGGAUAACAGCUGGAAACAGCUGCUAAUACCGGAUACGAGCUGCGAAGGCAUCUUCAGCAGCUGGAAAGAACUUCGGUCCGGGAUGGGCUCGCGGCCUAUCAGCUAGUUGGUGAGGUAACGGCUCACCAAGGCGUCGACGGGUAGCCGGCCUGAGAGGGUGACCGGCCACACUGGGACUGAGACACGGCCCAGACUCCUACGGGAGGCAGCAGUGGGGAAUAUUGCACAAUGGGCGCAAGCCUGAUGCAGCAACGCCGCGUGAGGGACGACGGCCUUCGGGUUGUAAACCUCUUUUAGCAGGGAAGAAGCGAAAGUGACGGUACCUGCAGAAAAAGCACCGGCUAACUACGUGCCAGCAGCCGCGGUAAUACGUAGGGUGCAAGCGUUAUCCGGAAUUAUUGGGCGUAAAGAGCUCGUAGGCGGUCUGUCGCGUCUGCUGUGAAAACCCGAGGCUCAACCUCGGGCCUGCAGUGGGUACGGGCAGACUAGAGUGCGGUAGGGGAGAUUGGAAUUCCUGGUGUAGCGGUGGAAUGCGCAGAUAUCAGGAGGAACACCGAUGGCGAAGGCAGAUCUCUGGGCCGUAACUGACGCUGAGGAGCGAAAGGGUGGGGAGCAAACAGGCUUAGAUACCCUGGUAGUCCACCCCGUAAACGUUGGGAACUAGUUGUGGGGUCCAUUCCACGGAUUCCGUGACGCAGCUAACGCAUUAAGUUCCCCGCCUGGGGAGUACGGCCGCAAGGCUAAAACUCAAAGGAAUUGACGGGGACCCGCACAAGCGGCGGAGCAUGCGGAUUAAUUCGAUGCAACGCGAAGAACCUUACCAAGGCUUGACAUAUAGAGGAAACGGCGGGAAACACGGCGCCCCGCAAGGUCUCUAUACAGGUGGUGCAUGGUUGUCGUCAGCUCGUGUCGUGAGAUGUUGGGUUAAGUCCCGCAACGAGCGCAACCCUCGUUCUAUGUUGCCAGCACGUAAUGGUGGGAACUCAUGGGAUACUGCCGGGGUCAACUCGGAGGAAGGUGGGGAUGACGUCAAAUCAUCAUGCCCCUUAUGUCUUGGGCUUCACCCGCAUGCUACAAUGGCCGGUACAAAGGGCUGCAAUACCGUAAGGUGGAGCGAAUCCCAAAAAGCCGGUCCCAGUUCGGAUUGAGGUCUGCAACUCGACCUCAUGAAGUCGGAGUCGCUAGUAAUCGCAGAUCAGCAACGCUGCGGUGAAUACGUUCCCGGGUCUUGUACACACCGCCCGUCGAGUCAUGAAAGUCGGUAACACC
rnacentral:rRNA from 1 species